CCUACGGGAGGCAGCAGUGAGGAAUAUUGGUCAAUGGCCGUAAGGCUGAACCAGCCAAGUAGCGUGAGGGAAGACUGCCCUAUGGGUUGUAAACCUCUUUUAUGCGGGGAUAAAGGUGUCCACGUGUGGAUGUUUGCAGGUACCGCAUGAAUAAGGGCCGGCUAAUUCCGGGCCAGCAGCCGCGGUAAUACGGAAGGUCCGGGCGUUAUCCGGAUUUAUUGGGUUUAAAGGGAGCGUAGGCCGGUCUUUAAGCGUCCCGUGAAAUUUUGUUGCUCAACCAUGAGAGUGCGGGGCGAACUGGAGUCCUUGAGGGCGCGGAAGGCAGGCGGAAUUCGUGGUGUAGCGGUGAAAGGCUUAGAUAUCACGAAGAACCCCGAUUGCGAAGGCAGCCUGCCGCAGCGUUACUGACGCUGAAGCUCGAAAGCGCGGGUAUCGAACAGGAUUAGAUACCCGAGUAGUC
rnacentral:rRNA from 1 species